GCUGACCUGAGCAUUGCUGCAAAGAACAGAUAUGUAUACAUUCUCAAAUGGAUAGAAAAUUAAUUCUGUCCAUUUUUUUAUUUGAAAGAAUGGCACAAACUAAAUGAAAAGAAAUGCAACAAUAUGUUUGUUUGUUUUUCUCACAAAAAGUGUAAUGAUUAAAGCAUCAAUUUGUUGAACAAUCAUUUUAUCUGGAAUGUUACGAGGAUGUAAAUAAAAAAAUAACAAUCCAAAUUUAAAUUUAUCAAAGAACACUUUUUCAUCUCCAUGCAAAGUUUGUUUUGACAAAGAAAUUAAAUUAAGGUAAAACAUUGUGAGGCACCAUCACAUCACAUUUUAAAAAAGGACACAUUAGGGGACAACAAAUGAGUUCUUAUGAGGGGCUAUAGGGUUGGUCUUUGACUUUGUUUGUUUUUUCUCAUCCCAAUGCCACUCGCUCUUAAAGUCUUAAAGUACAUGUACUUUAAG